rnacentral:tRNA from 1 species
GGCCGGUUAGCUCAGUCGGCUAGAGUGUGGUGCUGAUAACACCAAGGUCGUGGGUUCCAACCCCGUGCGGUCCC